UACAGAGGGGGGCAAGCGUUGUUCGGAAUUACUGGGCGUAAAGGGCGCGUAGGCGGCCUUCUAAGUCGAACGUGAAAUCCCCGGGCUCAACCCGGGAACUGCGUCCGAUACUGGAAGGCUUGAAUCCGGGAGAGGGAUGCGGAAUUCCAGGUGUAGCGGUGAAAUGCGUAGAUAUCUGGAGGAACACCGGUGGCGAAGGCGGCAUCCUGGACCGGCAUUGACGCUGAGGCGCGAAAGCCAGGGGAGCAAAGCGGGG
rnacentral:rRNA from 1 species